GAAUUGGGGCUCAAAGAGAGCAAAAGCAAUGCUAAUCCAAGCGGCCGCCGGUUGUUUCGUCAUCGGCAUCAUAAGAGAGGAUGCAAUUGUGAACGUGUGCACUCAGAUUUAUUGAAAGGGAACAAUGAACCAAGACGAAGAGAACCUCAAACCAUGGAUUUCGGGUGGUGGAUGACCGUUUCUUCUUACUAUAUAAGGUGCCUAACUUCUCCUCAUAGUCAGUCAACUUUCAGUGGUGUCUUCUAACUCACAAAAUAUGAAGGUUUUCGUGUGUUUACUUUUAAUUUCCGUUGUUACCGUCAACGGUGGCUUUCUUAGUUCUGGAGGAGGUGGUGGUGGCUAUGGAGGUGGGGGCGGCGGUGGUUACGGAGGAGGAGGAGGUG